AGCUUUGCGCAGUGGCAGUAUCGUAGCCAAUGAGGUUUAUCCGAGGCGCGAUUAUUGCUAAAAAAAAAAAAAAAAAAUCAACAACAACAAAGGCCCUUAAAGCUGGGCUUUUCAAAGGGCACUGAAGUC
rnacentral:snRNA from 1 species